rnacentral:lncRNA from 1 species
UGAAAGUCAGGUCGGAUUAAGCCAUAGUACGGGAAAAACUAUGCUACCUGUGAGCCCCGUCCAAGGACGUAAAAAGGAGUCAGGCCAUCAUAAAUGCCACAGCUUGAGCAAACUGUGCAGCCUGUAGCUCCACCUG